UUCUGCUUUCGUGCCGCAGUCUCUUACGAACUGUUGGCUGUCUCGCAUUGCGCCCUCCGUUAGGCCAUAUGUUGAUAUCGAAGGAUCCUCCGCAACACGUAUCAGGACUCACAUCUUUAAUCCUCAUGAUGGCUAGAAUGUUUCCGUGCUCUACGUAUUUCUCAUCGUAUUUUUGAGACAACUCUCCCGCACAUUCCAGACUUCUUCGAAAGUCAGGCAGCCAUAAAACUACGUUUUGAAAAGUGGACAAAAAUCCUCGUUGAAUUGAAUAUUGUUAAAUUGAUUAUACUGAGUUAUAUACUCACGCUAACA